AGUCAUGCAGGCAAAACCGCAUGAAAAAUGUAAAGCGUUAUGUGGAUCGAACAUUAGUAGAGAAGCGUGUGAGCCAGCUGCCAAGAAAAGCCGCUAUUGCUUCAUAAGUACCCGUACCGUAAACCGACACAGGUGGAUGAGGAGAGAAUCCUAAGGCCGGCGGGAGAAGUGUUGUUAAGGAACUCGGCAAAAUGACUCCGUAACUUCGGGAGAAGGAGUGCCACAGAGAUGUGGCCGCAGAGAAAUGGCCCAAGCAACUGUUUAGCAAAAACACAGGUCUAUGCAAAACCGAAAGGUGAGGUAUAUGGGCUGACGCCUGCCCGGUGCUGGAAGGUUAAGAGGAGAGGUUAGAGCAAUCGAAGCUUUGAAUUUAAGCCCCAGUAAACGGCGGCCGUAACGAUAACGGUCCUAAGGUAGCGAAAUUCCUUGUCGGGUAAGUUCCGACCCGCACGAAAGGCGUAAUGAUUUGGGCACUGUCUCAACAACACACCCGGUGAAAUUGAAAUACCAGUGAAGAUGCUGGUUACCUGCGCCAGGACGGAAAGACCCCAUGGAGCUUUACUCCAGUUUGAUACUGGGAUUCGGUACUGUCUGUACAGGAUAGGUGGGAGGCUAGGAAAUGGUGACGCCAGUUGCCAUGGAGCCAACCUUGGGAUACCACCCUUACAGUACUGGGUUUCUAACCUGCAGCCGUAACCCGGCUGGGGGACAAUGUCUGACGGGGAGUUUGACUGGGGCGGUCGCCUCCGAAAGAGUAUCGGAGGCGCUCAAAGGUUCCCUCAGAACGGUUGGAAACCGUUCGAAGAGUGCAAAGGCAGAAGGGAGCUUGACUGCGACACCGACGGGUGGAGCAGAUACGAAAGUAGGACUUAGUGAUCCGGUGGUAUAAAGUGGGAUUGCCAUCGCUCAACGGAUAAAAGCUACCCUGGGAUAACAGGCUUAUCACUCCCAAGAGUUCACAUCGACGGAGUGGUUUGGCACCUCGAUGUCGGCUCAUCGCAUCCUGGAGCUGUAGCAGGUUCCAAGGGUUGGGCUGUUCGCCCAUUAAAGCGGUACGCGAGCUGGGUUCAGAACGUCGUGGGACAGUUCGGUCCCUAUCCGGCGUGGGCGUAGGAUAUUUGAGAGGAGCUGUCCUUGGUACGAGAGGACCGGGAUGGACAAACCUCUGGUGUAUCUGUUGUUUUACCAAAGGCAUGGCAGAGUAGCCAAGUUUGGCAGGGAUAAACGCUGAAGGCAUCUAAGCGUGAAGCCCCCCUCAAGAUAAGAUAUCCCAUCUUCGGAGUAAGACCCCUUGAAGACUACAAGGUUGAUAGGCUUUGUGUGUAAGUGCGGUAACGCACUCAGCUGAGAAGUACUAAUAGGCCGAGGACUUAUCU
rnacentral:rRNA from 1 species